GUCGGUAUCGAUUAGGGGUUAAAUCACUUCGUUGUGGUUGAUUCAAAUCCGAAGAGCCGCUGGUUCGAUUCCAGCUACCGACA